GCGGAAGUGGCGAAAUUGGUAGACGCACCAGAUUUAGGUUCUGGCGCCGCAAGGUGUGAGAGUUCAAGUCUCUCCUUCUGCACCA
rnacentral:tRNA from 1 species